rnacentral:rRNA from 1 species
GGUCUGAAACUCAGAUCACGUAAAUGUUUAAUAGUCGAACAGACUACCCAUUUAAAAUUCUACCCCUAAAUUACAAUUUAAUUCAACAUCGAGGUCAUAAUCUUAAUUAUUAAUAAGAACUUGCUAAUUAAAUAAUGCUGUUAACCCUAGAGUAACUAUUUAAUAUUAAUUUAUAUAUUAAAAAUCUUUAUCUUCAAUAAUUACCCCAAUCAAAAAUUUUAUAAAAUUUAUAAGCUUCUAGGGUCUUCUCGUCCCAAGAAAUAAUAAAAGCAUUUUUACUUUUAAUUUAAAUUCAAAAUUAUCAAAUAAAACUUUCCUUUCAGUAUCAACCUUUCAUUCCAGUCUUCAAUUAAAAAA